AACUUUUAGCAACGGAUCACGCAGGCGGGCGAUUCCGCGCGUGAGCGUUCAGCUGGAGAUCGUUCAGCUGAGACGAUCCGUUCGGGAACGUCCGGGACGCACUCGGACGGAACAGCUGCGGGGCGCGGCGUCGAUCCGGCCACGUCGGUGCUCGCCUCGAAUCCCGUCGCAGGCGGCGGGCAGCAGAACGCGCCCCCGCGAUCCAACGACCAGCAACAGGCCCAGGCCGUGGAGAAUGCCGGGGUUGCCGACGCGGUCCCCGACGUCGCCUAUGCGAGCGAUUCGGGCCAGCAGUUUCCGGUCGAUUCGCAGGCGGACAUUCCACUCAAGGACAAGUUCACCGGCGAGGCCGGGUCGGUCUCCUUCUGGCUUCAGCCGCAUAUCAAUAAGCGGAGGCU
rnacentral:misc_RNA from 1 species